rnacentral:rRNA from 1 species
UACGAACUGUGCAAACGUUAUUCGGAAUCACUGGGCUUAAAGGGUGCGUAGGCGGCUGUCUAAGUAGGGUGUGAAAGCCCCCCGGCUCAACCGGGGAAUUGCGCCCUAAACUGGAUGGCUUGAGUGAGGUAGGGGUGUGUGGAACUUCCGGUGGAGCGGUGAAAUGUGUUGAUAUCGGAAGGAACGCCGGUGGCGAAAGCGACACACUGGGUCUCAACUGACGCUGAGGCACGAAAGCCAGGGGAGCAAACGGGG